rnacentral:miRNA from 1 species
CUGGCCUGGAAUUCACUGUAUAACCCAGGCUAGCCUCUUACUCAUGGCAGUCCUCCUGCCUCAGCCUC